rnacentral:rRNA from 1 species
UACGAGUGCCCCCAAGCGUUAUCCGGAAUCAUUGGGCGUAAAGGGUGUGUAGGUUGUCUUGUUAGUCUCUUGUGAAAUUCUUCGGCUUAACCGGGGGUCCGCAGGGGAAACGGCAAGACUAGAGGAUGUGAGAGGUGAAUGGAACUCAUGGUGUAGGGGUGAAAUCCGUUGAUAUCAUGGGGAACACCAAAAGCGAAGGCAAUUCACUGGCGCAUUCCUGACACUCAAACACGAAAGCGUGGGUAGCGAAUGGG